rnacentral:lncRNA from 1 species
UGCCGUCGCGCGCCGCCUCCAGCCCGCCGCCGUCGUCGCCAGCUGUCCGCCGGUCAUCGUCCAAGGUAAAGUUUUCAGUUUUCCUUCAUUUUUUGUUCGGUUUUUUCAAGUUUGUUUUUUUACUGUCAGUUUUUUUUUUUGGUUUUUGGGUCAUUGUUUAAAGUUUUCGAUUUUUCCUUUUGUUUACUUUUUCCUUUUGUUCAGUUUUUUAAUUUCAUUUUUGGGUGCUGAAUUUUUUAAAAUGAACCUUUAAACAAGUAGCAUCAUGUAAUGUGACUUCAAAUGAAUUUUUCCAGUUCAGUUUUUUAAAAUGAAUUUUUCGGUCAUUGUCCAGUUUUCUGUUUUUUUAAAAUAAAUUCUGAUUUUUUUUAUUUUUUUUUUCUAGUUUUUUAAUGACUUCAAAUAGUUCACAAGUAGCAUCAUCAACGGAUGGAGAUGAUCCAGCUAAAAGAUGGAAGAGGACAUUGGUGAAGACAAAGAUUAUGAAGGAGAUGGGGAUGAUGCACUUAAUGAUGAUGAUAUUUGAUUAGUUGCUUGAAAUUUGAUUGAACUUUUAGACUUGCGUACUUUAAACUUAAGUAUUUGUGUGUUUUAAUUUUUAAAUUAAGUAUUUGUGUGUUUAAGUAUUUGUGGUUUUAAGUAUUUGUGUGUUUUGCUAUAAAAUAUAUUGUAGGUAAAUAUAUUAGAAUUUUUUAGGUUUUAGCGCGUUUCGCCUACGAAAAGCCCGCGCUUUCACCAAAAGCCCGCGCUUUAAGCCCCGGGGCAGUUUGCGCUUCGGUGCGCUUCACGCUUUUUUAAACCAAGCAGAUAACUUAAACUAUGACACAGUAAAUAUAAGCAUUGAUGUUGCAGGGGAGGAUAAUUUCCAUAACAUCAUUUUUGAAGAAAAAUGGAGAAAAAUUUAAAUUAUGCAAUUCUGGCCCGUAAAUUCAAGGACUAUACAUCAAGUUUCACAAAUGCCAAAUGAUAAAUUUAAGGGAU